CCUACGGGAGGCAGCAGUGGGGAAUAUUGCACAAUGGGCGCAAGCCUGAUGCAGCCAUGCCGCGUGUAUGAAGAAGGCCUUCGGGUUGUAAAGUACUUUCAGCGGGGAGGAAGGUGUUGAGGUAUAAUAACCUCAGCAAUUGACGUUACCCGCAGAAGAAGCACCGGCUAACUCCGUGCCAGCAGCCGCGGUAAU
rnacentral:rRNA from 1 species